CCAGGAUUGGCUGCCCCCUCAUAACCAUAAGAUAAUUAAAACUGGGGAGGGGCAGAGUAAAAAAAAAACUUUUUUUUUAUCAUCCAGAGGUUAAUGCAAGUGUUUAACAGAUGCUUUACUAUUAAAAUACCCCCCCUACUCUCAAAUAUUGAAGAAUCUUAAACCAGGUAUAGUACCAUCUACUUUCUUUUCUGGUGGGGUGGGCCCGCAGAUUCUGCUUUUUCGAGUGUUUUGUAGGUAACAGAGGCAGAAAAAUGAUCCCAGGCAGACGCGUGCAGUUUUGUUCCGGGCGCCGAGAGCCCAGCGAGGGCGUGGGGACCCCAUUAAGAGGCGCUGCGGGCGGACGCGGUAUCCUCUCCAAGACGCCCGGCGCCCUGGGGAAGGUGGUCCUUCCAGCAGGAACUGGCUGGGAACACUCGUCUUGCCGGCUGUUGGCGGUUGCACCACGUUUCCUCGCUCAGAGCUGCGUGGGGUGGCUCAGGUUAUUGUGACAACUGGUGGAGAUCACGGCUGAGACCCCCUGACAAUCGGUCAGGACCAUUGUAAAUGUUUUUAUUACUCUCAUUCCUCAGGGACAUCAGUCCCAGCGGAGACUUUGGACAGUUUCAAAGUGCGGGCACCUCGAUUCCCCGAAUCUUUGGUGUGGCCGGGAUACGUGUGACCCUGGUUUAAAUAGCCUGUUUGAAGAUGCAGUUCAUUCUUAGGAAAAUACAACGGAAACCAGUCCUCCCCACCCUGGGGUCUUCGCUUUCCUGGUCUGCAUCUGCCUGUGACUUCAGAAAGCCACUUCACGUGGGCCAAGCUGCCUGAAGACCAGCCAGCCGCACAGCGACGGGUGCCACCUAGGCCAGGUGUACCUUUCCGCGCCGCCGAUCCCGGGCAUCUCCUGUCGCCGACUCCUCCUUCCAGCCUUGUCCCUCGAGCGGAGCAGAACUGCAGCUACGCGGGCAUCUUCUGGGGCUUGGUCCCGGCAGGGCGCAGGCUGCACGACGGCGGCGGUAGCCUCGCAGAAAUGCUAGGGGUACCAGAAGCCACCACCCGGAUUUAAGCUGCUCUCCUCCGCCCCUGCCUCCUGAUUCAAUCCUCAUUUUGAGCCCCAACACUUUCUCGAUUCCUAGCACCCCGGAGCCAAUUCUUGGUCGCUCCAGCGGGGCGAGGUCGCGGCUCCGGGAGGGGUGGACCCUCAGUAUCCCCGAGCGUCUGAGGGGACUUUUCGCUGGGGGGGGUAGGAAAGGGUUAAACGCGCCUCCCUCUCACCCUUAUUCUCAAGCCCCUGGCGCUGGGCGAAGGCCACGGUUUCCCUGGUGAGGUCUCAUUAGGGGAACCCUCACUGCUAUUUUCAACAUUUCCUCAAUCAAGUGUCUUUAAAUAGAGCUGCACAAACAAAUUGGCGGCAAAAGCGUAGAUCUUGUCACGAUGGAGACCAAUCCAAUAUUUCAGCCUUGUUUGCUUUGCAAUUAGGGGUUGGCUUGUGGCUGCGGUGCCACAGGGGCAGGUCUGCAACGGUCCGCCUUCUC